UUGUUGUAGCUCUUUAGGAAUGUAAGCGAGCCAAACACUCAAUUUUGACACCGAGUUUUACCCCGAGAACGGACUCUUGGUUCAACCUUGACGGCGAGCGGACGUCUGAACACCGGAUCCGCAUUAGGACCGCCAGUAAAAGAACACGAUGAAGACUCCCGAUUCAACCUUGACGCCAAGUGGACAUCAGGAGCCCUGGGCCACCGGCUGACAGGUUAGGCAUAAAUCAAGAAAUUACCAUUUCUAGUUGACACACCAUUGUAGAGGAGAGAGAAGCCUUGUCUGGUUACAGAUGAAUCGGUCUUGAAUUUCACCAGAACUUGAUUGCUGGAUGACGUGAAGGCUGGCGGAAGAGUUGUUCCACAGUACUUGAAGCUAUCAGGAAGGAGGCAGUGAUGGGGCUAGUCACCAGCAGGAAGGGCAAGAGGUGCACAAAGAGACCACCAGAAUUACACAUGAUGGUGUGAAUGCUAAUACACAAAGUUUGGCGAGAGAGAUGACUACUGAACACUUUGAGUGAGCAUCAAAGUCUGACUCCUCCACCACCAGUUCAUGCUUUUUAUCGACUACGUACUGAGAAGGAAGGGCUCUGAUCCAAUUGAGAACAUUCCAAUUCCAAGUGCCUCAACUUUCCUGGUCAGCCUCUCGUGGGGUAGUGUGAGUGGUCAAGAAAGACAUCACAAUUGUUACUGCUGUUGACUGCCUUGAAUAUGCUUCUAUGCCAGGAUUGCAGAUUUGCAAGACAAGAUUACCUUCACAAGAAACCAUGUGGAGUUGUCAAUCAGGUCCUGUGUUAUAAAACUUUUUUUAUGUACAGUAUACACAAUUAUAACCUCAAAUAAUUUUGCCACUGUUGGCUUUAAGCUAAUUGUGUGAUAGUUCAUUAAAAAGGGAUGUCCUCUUUCUUGAAUAUUGGGACUUUGUUAAUUGCCUUUCAUGUAGUAGAAACUAUUCUUGUAUUGAUUUAUUUAAUACUAGAUGGGGGUCUCUGAUGGAUGUGUGUGUGUGUAUAUAUACUAUUUGUGUCUAGAGAAUCGAGCUAUUAGCUCUUGCAUCCUGCCUUUCUAACCAAUCUAUUUUUCCUCUAUUAUAUGAACUACAUAUAUUUCUAACACAUGGACAGGCGCACACACACACACAUACACAUACACAUACACAUCCCCAAGAAGCAGCCUGUAGCAGCUGUCUAACUCCAAGGUACUUGUUUACUGCUAGUAAAAAAUGGCAUAAAAUUAAAAAUUUUAAUAAAAAAAAAAUCACAAUUGGCCAAAAAAUAGACCAAUUACAAAUUCAUUUGUUGAGCAUUGACAAAUAAGUCACAUAAACUUGUACGAACAGAAACAACAAGAUCAGGGCUGUCAUGAAUAGUAGAUUACAUUUGAGUAUUUAGCAUAUUAGGGCAUUAUCAAAUCUAACAGAUUGGUUUUGUUUGACUUAAGGCCUACCACUUUGCGGAGGGUUAUUAAGGCCACCACUAAAAACUUAUUAAUCACCCGGCAAUAUUCUUAAAAUGAGAUACACACGGUUAGUGCUUAUAAAGAGGCAAAAUGGAGGAAAGGUUUGGUCUAGUAGGAUGAAGUCAGGUGAAGGUGGGAGCAGUGGGAUGGCCAGGUGAUCCCUGCCGGCUGCAACUGGUGAAGGUGGGAGAAGGUGAAGUGUGAAUGUGGUGUGUAAUAGAGAGGGGGAGGGAGGUGGUGGGCACAUGUCUGUUAAUUUAUAUAGGCGUUUCUGCCAUACCAGAGGUCGAUGCGUGAAGGGACCACGAUGAGCCAGUUGUGUCAGAAGUUGCACGAAGUAAGAGGUUUCUUUAUGUUAGCAAUGAAGGUCUACUAGAUUUGCUUUGAAAUAUUUCAUCACAAAAACACUUUGCUUAAUUUUGCAAAUAGCAUGGAAUAAGGAAUACUGAAUUUAGCUAUGUCUACUCUUUCCACUGUUCUCAAUCAACACCUAAACCAAAAUUUUGUGUACUUCAUUGCUUAGUAGAUUUUAAAACUGGAGAUUUACUUUCAUACACUAAAGUAGGCUUAAUAUGACCCACAAGCUCACUUUGCAAACUCUUAUUGUUGCCACUAAAAGUUACUCAGUGGGCAUUAUAUGCCUACAUGUCACCCUUAUAUCCUUCCCACCUCAGUGACUGCCACCUACUGUACCUCCUUUACUGUUGACUACUUUGACCUCAGUAGGCACUAUGUCUGCCUCUCAGCAAGUCUGUGAUAUCUAAAUAUGUCCUUCACAACGUCUCGGCGAUUUCUUAGGAAAACACGUUCUGCAGUAUUUUUAAGUUAUUAAUCAUUUCAAGUAUUAAAGUUAUUAGAAGUUUUAGUAAAUCAGGUAAGUUUUCUAGUAAGUCAAAACACAAGUAACUUUGCUCUCCAUGUCCUAGCUGUUGCACUCCAACAACUUGUGUUCUACUUUUUAUGUCUUUGAUUUAUGUAGUCUGCCUUUCCAUAUAACAAAGAAUAUCCUUAAAUAGCCCAACCCACAUGAAAAGAUGUUUCAUCUGGGAUGGACCGAAGUGUUGUCUCAUUUCACUUCAUUUCAUGUGCGAGCAAGUCGAGUUACUUAUUUUCAGCAAUGUUAUUAAGACUGAUACUCUGCAUAGAAAAUUAUUAUUUACUUUCAUCAGCAUUGUAUUUUAUUGUCUUGGUAAGAAUUAAACCUUUGUGACUUUCCAUAUAAAUACUGUUUGUGCAAACAUGGGUAAUGUAACAAGCCGGUUCCUGUAUUAAUAAGAAUACAGUAUAACUUUCCCCGUUUUAGUUUGGGCUGAGGUUGGGGAGUAACUUGCCCAGAGCACCUUUGCAUACAACUCACUCAUGACAAAUUAUUAAGAAAAUAACUUUUACAUUCUUUGUUCACACAGCAUAUAAAAACAUUAGUAGGCUGCCACUGUACAAGAAUAAUUUUAAUUUUUUAAAUUUUUGCCUAUAUGUACUUCACAAAAAUUAUUUAUAUUUACUGUACUUUUAACAAGCUGUCAUGUAAAGUAUUUCAUUAACGAGUGGAUUGGAAUGCAUCAUGAGUUAAAUACAAAAAACAAAUUUUGUAAUUAAUGAUUUAUUCUUCCUUUUUACUGUAUAUUUUUAAAAUCAAAGUACAGUGCUUGAAAUUAUUCAGUUCUGGAGGAGUGAAUUAUGUUGUAUACAUACCAUCCUAGCAGCAAUGAUUUUUAUAUUUGUGUAUACAGUACUCCAAACCUUAUCAUUCCAUGUAGUCUAAUAAUUUUUAAUGAAUUACCCUGAAGCUUAGUAAGCAUUGUUAUUACCACUAAUGGAUAUGUAAAUUGAUUUCAGGUUGAAAAUCAAGGUUACCUUGUAUUGCCACACUCCAACUGAACUCCCUUCAAUGGAAGUCCUGAUGCAAAGAAAAUCUUGGGAAUACUUCUUAUCUCCGAUGAACACAGACAACUUCAGAACAGCAUCCACAGUUGGCUCGUACAAUAACUCGUCGUCACAAUCGUGGACUUCAGCUUGCACU
rnacentral:lncRNA from 1 species